rnacentral:rRNA from 1 species
ACUCAAAUGAAUAGACGGGGGCCCGCACAAGCGGCGGAGCAUGCGGAUUAAUUCGAUGCAACGCGAAGAACCUUACCUGGGUUUGACAUACACCGGAAAGCUGCAGAGAUGUAGCCCCUUUUAGUCGGUGUACAGGUGGUGCAUGGCUGUCGUCAGCUCGUGUCGUGAGAUGUUGGGUUAAGUCCCGCAACGAGCGCAACCCUCGUUCCAUGUUGCCAGCAACCUCUUCGGAGGGUUGGGGACUCAUGGGAGACUGCCGGGGUCAACUCGGAGGAAGGUGGGGAUGACGUCAAGUCAUCAUGCCCCUUAUGUCCAGGGCUUCACGCAUGCUACAAUGGCCGGUACAAAGGGCUGCGAUGCCGCGAGGCGGAGCGAAUCCCAAAAAGCCGGUCUCAGUUCGGAUUGGGGUCUGCAACUCGACCCCAUGAAGUCGGAGUCGCUAGUAAUCGCAGAUCAGCAACGCUGCGGUGAAUACGUUCCCGGGCCUUGCACACACCGCCCGU